AGCUCGAUGGAGGGGGGUAACUACUGGAAACGGUAGCUAAUACCGCAUAACGUCGCAAGACCAAAGAGGGGGACCUUAGGGCCUCUUGCCAUCGGAUGUGCCCAGAUGGGAUUAGCUAGUAGGUGGGGUAACGGCUCACCUAGGCGACGAUCCCUAGCUGGUCUGAGAGGAUGACCAGCCACACUGGAACUGAGACACGGUCCAG
rnacentral:rRNA from 1 species